UAGGGAAUCUUCGGCAAUGGACGAAAGUCUGACCGAGCAACGCCGCGUGAGUGAAGAAGGUUUUCGGAUCGUAAAACUCUGUUGUUAGAGAAGAACAAGGACGUUAGUAACUGAACGUCCCCUGACGGUAUCUAACCAGAAAGCCACGGCUAACUACGUGCCAGCAGCCGCGGUAAUACGUAGGUGGCAAGCGUUGUCCGGAUUCAUUGGGCGUAAAGCGAGCGCAGGCGGUUUCUUAAGUCUGAUGUGAAAGCCCCCGGCUCAACCGGGGAGGGUCAUUGGAAACUGGGAGACUUGAUUGCAGAAGAAGAGAGUGUAAUUCCAUGUGUAACAGUGAAAUGCGAAGAUAUAUGGAGGAACACCAAUGGCAAAGGCGGCUCUCUGAUCAGUAACUGACGCUGAGGCUCAAAAGCGUGGGGGGCAAACAGG
rnacentral:rRNA from 1 species